GACGAACGCUGGCGGCGUGCUUAACACAUGCAAGUCGAACGGAAAGGCCCUGCUUUUGUGGGGUGCUCGAGUGGCGAACGGGUGAGUAACACGUGAGUAACCUGCCCUUGACUUUGGGAUAACUUCAGGAAACUGGGGCUAAUACCGGAUAGGAGCUCCUGCUGCAUGGUGGGGGUUGGAAAGUUUCGGCGGUUGGGGAUGGACUCGCGGCUUAUCAGCUUGUUGGUGGGGUAGUGGCUUACCAAGGCUUUGACGGGUAGCCGGCCUGAGAGGGUGACCGGCCACAUUGGGCCGGAGAUCCGGCCCAGACUCCUAGGGGGGGCAGCAGGGGGGAAUAUUGCCCAAUGGGCGGACGCCUGAUGCAGCACCCCCGCGUGCGGGAGGACGGCCUUGGGGUUGUAAACCUCUUUCGCCUGUGACGAAGCGUGAGUGACGGUAAUGGGUAAAGAAGCCCCGGCUACCUACGU
rnacentral:rRNA from 1 species